rnacentral:lncRNA from 1 species
AGCUGUAGCUGCUGGCCUACGCCAGAGCCACAGCAAUGUGGGAUCCAAGCCGAGUCUGCAACCUACACCACAGCUCACGGCAACACCGGAUCAUUAACCCACUGAGCAAGGGCAGGGACCGAACCCGCAACCUCGUGGUUCCUAGUCGGAUUCGUUAACCACUGCGCCAUGACGGGAACUCCUCUUCACUUAAUUUCUUGGAUUGGAUUCAUGGUUUCUGUUGAAGCAUAUCCUCCAUGAGCAUUCAAGAGAAGUAUGAGAGGUGAACGACAUAGCCUUGCUUGUCUGAACAUGUCUUCAUUCUGCCAUUACGUCCGAUAGGGAGUUGCCUGAAUUCGAGGCAUGCGUGAGGGGCAGAUGAAUCUUCCCGGAAGUGGGUUUGGAAAUAAUACCCUUGUUUCACCCCUGCCCCCUGCCAUGUCCUGUAUACCUAAGACCUCGGUCUUCCCAGUCAAUAUAUCUAAGGAAAAAACUACCCUUCUUGCUCAUUCCUAGGGGGUAGGUGUCUGUUGAUAGCUUUCUGUGUUUGUGUGAGUGUGGAGGUGUCUUAUUUCAUAGACGGACUUUCAAAAUAACUUCCUGUUUUCUCUGCUCCCCCUUUGGCACACUCCCCCUCUUCGUUUUACCCACUGGUUUCAAGCAUUCGGUCUUUUUAAAAUAAUUAAUUAAUUAUUUUGGGGGGGGUCUAUUUCUAGGGCUGCUCUUGCGGCAUAUGGAGAUUCCCAGGCUAGGGGUUGAAUCGGGGCUGUAGCCACCGGCCUAUGCCAGAGCCACAGCAACUCGGGAUCCAAGCCAUGUCUGCAACCUAUACCACAGCUCACAACAACGCUGGAUCCUUAACCCAUUGAGCAAGGCCAGGGACCGAAUGCGCAACCACAUGGUUCCUAGUCAGAUUCGUUAACCACUGAGCCAUGAUGGGAACUCCUAAAAAUUAUUUUUAAGAUUUUUUUUUCUAUUAUAGUUGAUUUACAAUGUUCUGUCAAUGUCUGCUAUACAGCAAAGUGACCCAGUUAUACAUAUAUAUAUAUUAUCUUUUCUCAUAUUCCAUCAUGUCCUAUCACAAGUGAUUGGAUGUAGUUUCCUGUGCUGUACAGCAGGACCUCAUUCCUUAUCCAUUCUAAAUGUAAUACUUUGCAUCUACUAACCCCAAACUUCUUGUCCAUCCCACUCUUUUCCCACCUCUUGGGGAACCACAAGUCUGUUCUCCAUGUCUGUGCAUCUAUCACAGAUAGGUUCAUUUGUGACAUACUUUAGAUUUCACAUAUAAGUGAUAUCAUAUGGUAUUUGUCUUUUUCUGACUUACUUCACUUAGUAUGAGAAUCUCUAGUUGCAUCCAUGUUGCUACAAAUGGCAUUAUUUUGUUCUUUUUUAUGGCUGACUAGUAUUCCAUUGUGUAUAUGUACCACAUCUUAAUCCAUUCAUCUGUUGAUGGACAUUUAGGCUGUUUCCAUAUCUUGGCUAUUGUGAAUAGUGCUGAAAUGAACAUAGAGGUGCAUUUGUCUUUUUUUUUUUUUUUUUUUUGACAUGCUUAAAAGGCCAUUUGCAUUUCUUUUCCGUUCUUUUUCUUUCUUUCUUUUACAUGUAUCUUUUUGAAUGAAAGUGUUGUCUGGAUAUAUGCCCAGGAGUGGGAUUGGUGGAUCAUAUGGUAGUUAUUUAUUUAUUUUUGUCUUUUUAGGGCCACACCCAGGGCAUAUGGAAGUUCCCAGGCUAGGGGUUGGAGCUGUAGCUGCUGGCCUACACCAGAGCCACAGCCACACUAGAUCUGAGCCACAUCUGAGACCUAUACCACAACUCAUGGCAAUGCCAGAUCCUUAACUCACUGAGUGAGGCCAGGGAUUGAACCUGCUUCCUCAUGGACAAUAGGUUUGUUACCACUGAGCCACGAGGAGAACUCCCAGUAGUUCCAUAUUUAGUUUUCCGAGGAACCUCUGUACUGUUUUCCAUAAUGGUUUUACCAAGCAUUCAGUCAUAAUGGGAGACUCGUGCAAAUUAGCCCUCUCUGCUUUCUGUUUUCCAUAGUACUAUUGUCUACUUUGUCCCUUUUUUAUACUCUCUUUGUUCCUCUGAAUUUAUAUAAUUUUUGCACUUGAAGUAUCAUUUUAGUGGGGACUUAUGUAGGUGAGAAGAUAUGUAUGUGUUUAAUUGACCACUUAAACCAAAAGCUAUAUAUCAGUUUAUUUAGUAGGACUUUGACAUAGCUUUGCGAAAUGCUGUUUAGAACUGAAAUUUGUUCAGUAUGCAUGCUCACCCUCAUCCUUUUCAUGACAUUUUGUUAAAAGUUGAAAUGGGCAUUGACAUCCAGGGACCAGCAUUGAAACCUAACAAUAUAGCCAAAUCAGAACCUUUCCAUAGUCUGUUAUGUGGAAAUGAUCUUUAGGCAAAGAAUAUCUAGAGUAGAAGAGUUAUAAAUAGAGUCAGGUUUCAUGUAAACAAGGAGAUUCGGUAACCAAUUUCUGGAAAACAUGUAUUUACAGAAAACUACAUAUUCUGGAAAAUAUGUAUAUACAGAAAACUAAGGUGCAUCAUUUGGGAGAAACAGUAUAAUACCUCUUGAACAUAAUGUGAAGUUAAAUUCUGAUCAAUUCUAAAGUGGCUAAGUUUGAUUUGUUCAUCAUAUUGCCUCUGAUGUUGCUGUAUUAUUUUGAAGCCUUCAUAUGAAAAUUCUGAGAUGAAUAUAUAUUGAGUGAAAGUCAAUAGGUCUUAGUGUCAGGAGAAGUAAGCCCUCCCUUUUUUUUCUUUCUUUUUUUUUCCAUUUUAUGGCUGCACCUGCAGCAUAUGGAAGUUCCUGGGCCAGGGAUUGAAUCUGAGCCACAUACGUGACCUAUGUUGCAGCUGCAGCAAUUGGAUCCUUUAACCCACUGCACCCAGCCAGGGAUUGAACCUAGGCCUCUGCAGCAACCAGAGUCACUGCAGUCAGAUUCUUAACCCACUGCACCAUGGCAGGAACUCUAAACCCUCCUUCUUAGGCAGUUAUUUACACAGUUCCAUUACUGGUCCUUAAUACUAAGUUUUACCCAAUUUUUUUUCAGAGAUGAGAAUUGCUAAGAAUUUAGGGUUUAAAUUUAAUGUAUUUCUAAGUAUUUAUCUCCUGAGGUUUGAUUAUGAGUGUUUAGAAAUCAUUCAAGGUCGAUGAAUGUCAGAAAGCCAGCAGAGAUAGCCCAGCUCUUAUUCAACAGAAGAGAAACCACCCAGGCGGAAUGCACACAUUUGGGGAAUUCCACACAUUUGGGGAAAAAAAACUUUAUUCAGGGAUUCAAGUUGAUUGACUGGAUAUCAGAGAAGGAAAACUAUGCAUGAAAAGGGUGGGAAAAUCUUCAGGGAAUUGUCAACCCUCACUGAAAUGUACCAAAGCAAUGAUCCAAGGGAGAAAUCUUACAUACACACUGAAUGUGGAAAAGCCCUCUUCCAGGAGCCAGAACCCUGUACACUCUGGAGAAGUCAGAAAGGAGGGAAAUGUCAUGAGUGUGCUAAAUACGAUAACGCAGUUAGCAAUAGAGGAUACCCUGCCACACACCAAAUGGUGCAUGCUGGGAGAUCUUCUACAAGAAGACUGAAUGUGAGAAGGCCCGGAAGACAGAACUCACUGUGCACCAUAGAAUCCACAUCAGAGAGAUGGAUCUGAAUAAGUGUGUGUGUGUGUGUGUGUGAGUCUUCAGCAGGGAGCCAGGACUCUAAGUCAGAAAUUUCACAUGGAAAGAAGUCCUCCAAAUGUGGAAAAGCAUUUACAAGAAAUCAUCUGAAAUCAAAGUCAUAAGAGUUCAGAGUGGGGAAAAUCACAAAAAUGUAAAAACUAUGGGGAAAUUUUCCAUUAGAAGUCAAGACACACGGCACCUCAGAGAAGGCAUACUGGGAGAAACACCAAGAAAACAAUAAAUACAGGAAAGCUUCAUUUGGAAAUCAGAGCCCACUACUCUCUAAUAUAGGAGAAAAUUAAAAGCAUCAAUGUGGAAAAACAUCAGCAGGAAAACACACCUCAUCAUAUGUCAGAAAACCCACACAGGAGAGAAGCCGUAUGAAAUAGUGAAUUUUGGGAAGUAUUCAGCAAUAUAUGAAACAUCAUAAUUCACACUGCAGAGAACUCCUAGGACUGCAACAAAUGUAGGGAGAAUCUGUACACCAAAAAGGUUAUUCUGAGGAGAAGCUCCAUUAAAGAAUGCAGAAACAUCAAGCUCCAAGGACAAAGUAUAUUAUGCAGAGACCUCAUCUAGGAAAGAGUCUCUAUGUUGUAUGAAGUGUGUUUUUUUGUUUUUUGUUUUUGGUCUUUUUGUCUUUUUAGGGCUGUACCUGCGGCAUACGAAGGUUCUCAGGCUAGGGGUCUAAUCAGAGCUACAGCUGCCCACCUACACCAGAGCCACAGCAACGCCAGAUCCGAGCCGCAUCUGUGACCUACACCACAGCUCACGGCAAUGCUGGAUCCUUAACCCAGUGAGCGAGGCCAGAGAUUGAACCUGUAACCUCAUCAUUCCUAGUCGGAUUCAUUUCUGCUGUGCCACAGCGGGAACUCCUGUAUGAAGUGUGUUUGAUCUUCAGAGUCAGACAUUAGAAACUAGAGAACUCAGGACUUCCCAUUGUUGCUCAAUGGAAAUGAACCCAACUUAGUAUUCGCUUGCUUAGUAUUUAGCCUCGCUCAGUGGGUUAAGGAUCUGGCAUUGCCAUGAGAUGCAGCUGCAGCUCUAAUUUGACCCCUAGCCUGGGAACUUCCAUAUGCCACAGAUGUGGCCAAAAAAACCAAACAAACAAAACAAAACUAGACAACUCAUACUGAUUAAAAAGAGUCGAUAUAACAAAUUUAAAUUCUACCCUAGGGAAAUAAAACUCCAUAACUUAC